UAGGGAAUCUUCCGCAAUGGACGCAAGUCUGACGGAGCAACGCCGCGUGAGUGAAGAAGGAUUUCGGUUCGUAAAACUCUGUUGUUAGGGAAGAAAAAAUGUAUAGUAACUAUAUACAAAAGAGACGGUACCUAACCAGAAAGCCACGGCUAACUACGUGCCAGCAGCCGCGGUAAUACGUAGGUGGCAAGCGUUGUCCGGAAUUAUUGGGCGUAAAGCGCGCGCAGGUGGUUUAGAAAGUCUGAUGUGAAAGCCCACGGCUCAACCGUGGAGGGUCAUUGGAAACUAAUAAACUUGAGUGCAGGAGAGAAAAGUGGAAGUCCUAGUGUAGCGGUGAAAUGCGUAGAGAUUAGGAGGAACACCGGUGGCGAAAGCGGCUUUUUGGCCUGCAACUGACACUGAGGCGCGAAAGCGUGGGGAGCAAACAGG
rnacentral:rRNA from 1 species